rnacentral:rRNA from 1 species
CCCCACUGCUGUCGGGAUGGGACUAAGACAUGCUAGUCGAGUGUCUUCAAGCCAAUAUGAAGGCACGGCGCACAGCUCAGUAACACGUGGCUAACCUGCCCUUGGAACAGGUACAACCCCGGGAAACUGGGGCUAAUUCCUGAUAAGUGAGAGAUCCUGGAAUGGGCUCUCGCUCAAAGGGCGUCUGGAUUAUGCUUCCAGCCGUCGUCCAAGGAGGGGGCCGCGGCCGAUCAGGUUGUUGGUGAGGUAACGGCUCACCAAGCCUUUAACCGGUACGGGCCGUGAGAGCGGUGGCCCGGAGAUGGGCACUGAGACAAGGACCCAGGCCCUACGGGGCGCAGCAGUCGCGAAAACUCACCAAUACACGAAAGUGUGAGUGGGCCAUCCCGAGUGCCGUCUGCUGAAGAUGGCUUUUCCCUUGUGUAAUAAGCUGGGGGAAUAAGGAGAGGGCAAGCCUGGUGUCAGCCGCCGCGGUAAUACCAGCUCUCCGAGUGGUGGGGAUACUUAUUGAGCCUAAAGCAUCCGUAGCUUGCUGGUCAAGUCCUCCGUUAAAUCCAGCGAUUCAAUCGUUGGGCUGCGGGGGAUACUGGCCGGCUUGGGGACGGGAGAGGCCGACGGUAUUUCCGGGGUAGGGGUGAAA